UACGGAGGGGGCUAGCGUUGUUCGGAAUUACUGGGCGUAAAGCGCGCGUAGGCGGACCUGCAAGUCGGGGGUGAAAGCCCGAGGCUCAACCUCGGGAACUGCCUUCGAUACUGCGGGUCUCGAGUCCGGGAGAGGUGAGUGGAAUUCCUAGUGUAGAGGUGAAAUUCGUAGAUAUUAGGAAGAACACCAGUGGCGAAGGCGGCUCACUGGCCCGGUACUGACGCUGAGGCGCGAAAAGCGUGGGGAGCAAACAGG
rnacentral:rRNA from 1 species